rnacentral:rRNA from 1 species
AUUGAACGCUGGCGGCAGGCCUAACACAUGCAAGUCGAACGAGUGGCGGAAGGGUGAGCAAUGUAUGGGAAACUGCCUGCCGGCGGGGGAUACCUACUGGAAACGGUAGCCUCUACCGCAAACCAUCAGAUGUACCCAGGUGGGAGUAGCUUGUUGGGGGGGGAACGGCUCACAAAGGCGACGAUCCCUAGCUGGUCUGAGGGGAGGACCGGCCACACUGGAACUGAGACACGGUCCAGACUCCUACGGUAGGCAGCAGUGGGGAAUAUUGGCCAAGGGACGAAAGCCUGAUUCAGCAAUGCCGCGGGUGGGAAGAAGGCCUUCGGGUUGUAAAGUACUGUCAGCGGGGAAGCGUUACCCGCAGAAGAAGCACCGGCGAACUACGUGCCAGCAGCCGCGGUAAUUC